AUUGAACGCUGGCGGCAUGCCUUACACAUGCAAGUCGAACGGUAACAGGUCUUCGGAUGCUGACGAGUGGCGAACGGGUGAGUAAUACAUCGGAACGUGCCUAGUAGUGGGGGAUAACUACUCGAAAGAGUGGCUAAUACCGCAUGAGAUCUACGGAUGAAAGCAGGGGAUCGCAAGACCUUGUGCUACUAGAGCGGCCGAUGGCAGAUUAGGUAGUUGGUGGGAUAAAAGCUUACCAAGCCGACGAUCUGUAGCUGGUCUGAUAGGACGAUCAGCCACACUGGGACUGAGACACGGCCCAGACUCCUACGGGAGGCAGCAGUGGGGAAUUUUGGACAAUGGGCGCAAGCCUGAUCCAGCAAUGCCGCGUGCAGGAUGAAGGCCUUCGGGUUGUAAACUGCUUUCGUACGGAACGAAAAGCCCUGGGUUAAUACCCUGGGGUCAUGACGGUACCGUAAGAAUAAGCACCGGCUAACUACGUGCCAGCCGCCGCGGUAAAAC
rnacentral:rRNA from 1 species